rnacentral:lncRNA from 1 species
ACAGCUACUCUGGGAAGGUGAUCUCUACGGCCACCGGCCACAGGGCUCCGUCCCUGAGCUCCUCACGCCGCAGUAGCUAAAGCACCCUUAGCUGCAAGGAAAACACAGGUGGGAAAACAGUUUCUUAAUGAGGAAUAUUUGUAAGCUCUGUUGGCGCUCAGCAGGUUGAAGAUUGACAAUGAACCACCUAAGGGUGCAGAUUUAGCCUCAGGGUGCAGCUCGGAUCCCUGGGUUCAGCGGAGGUGGGUGCCGAAGCCCGAACUGAAUUGGCACGCAGGUCCCUGCCCAGCGCUGAGCCGCGCCUCGGGAAAGACUGAAAGCUGCCCGUGCCGCUGAGCAUGCCCAGUUUCUGCCUGAGUCCCUGGAGGGUUGCAAGAUUGGGGGUUGAUUUGGUCUCCAGGUGCCGUAGGCUGCGAGGAAGAUGAGACGGCCAAAGAUGAGAAGGCCAAAGAUUGCGAGCGACUAGUACAAAAGAAGGAAAGAGUUUGAAAUAGGUGAGGCUGAGCGCCAGGGGGAAGGAACAAAAGGUGGGUGGGGCUAAGAGUUACCAGCCUUGGCUGUGACCUCCGAUGCCACUCAUCUCCGGAACACACUAGCCACAUUCUGCUCUCCUCCACCAUCUCUAAGGAGCCAUCUCAUAUAGGAUAGAAAAGGGUUCAAGGGGCGGAAUAGAGUCCUCUUCCUUCUCGCUUCUCAAAGGCUGCCAGCGUGGGAAUCUCAGGGUAUACAGACACUUCUGUUCAAAUAGUCCUCCUGGAGACUUAGGAAAAUAAAUGUGACAAGCUG